rfam:Myotis lucifugus cont2.5696, whole genome shotgun sequence.
CCUGCACUGGUGGGGUCCCUCGGCCUGGUCUGUGGGGUUUGGGCCAAAACCAGCUCUCUGACACCCCCUGAAGUUCCCCAGAUUGUGGGCCAGGCUGAGGGACCCCACCAGUGCACA